UACGUAGGAUGCAAGCGUUGCUCGGAAUUAUUGGGUGUAAAGGGCGCGUAGGUGGCCUGAUAAGUCAUGGGUGAAGGCCCUCGGCUCAACCGAGGAAUAGCCUAUGAUACUGUCGGGCUUGAGUAUGGGAGAGGGAAGUGGAAUUCCUGGUGUAGCGGUGAAAUGCGUAGAUAUCAGGAGGAACACCGGUGGCGAAGGCGGCUUCCUGGACCAAUACUGACACUGAGGCGCGAAAGCGUGGGUAGCAAACAGGAUUAGAUACCCGU
rnacentral:rRNA from 1 species